rnacentral:rRNA from 1 species
UACGGGGGGGGCAAGCGUUGUUCGGAAUUACUGGGCGUAAAGGGCUCGUAGGCGGCCAACUAAGUCAGACGUGAAAUCCCUCGGCUUAACCGGGGAACUGCAUCUGAUACUGGGAGGCUUGAGUAUGGGAGAGGGAUGUAGAAUUCCAGGUGUAGCGGUGAAAUGCGUAGAUAUCUGGAGGAAUACCGGUGGCGAAGGCGGCAUCCUGGACCGACAUUGACGCUGAGGAGCGAAAGCUAGGGGAGCAAACGGG